rnacentral:rRNA from 1 species
AGAGUUUGAUCAUGGCUCAGGAUGAACGCUGGCGGCGUGCCUCAUGCAUGCAAGUCGAACGGGAACACUUUUAGUAGCAAUACUGAGGGUGUUCUAGUGGCGAUCGGGUGAGUAACACGUAGGUGACCUGCCCCGAAGAGGGGGAUAACGGUCCGAAAGGACUGCUAAUACCCCAUGUGGUUGAUGAUUCAUUUCGUCAAUUAAAGUUUCCGCAAGGAGUAUGCUUCGGGAGGGGCCUGCGGCGGAUUAGAUAGUUGGUGGGGUAAUGGCCUACCAAGUCGAUGAUCCGUAGCUAGUCUGAGAGGACGAUUAGCCACACUGGCACUGACACACGGGCCAGACUCCUACGGGAGGCAGCAGCAGGGAAUAUUGCACAAUGGGCGAAAGCCUGAUGCAGCAACGCCGCGUGAGGGAUGAAGGUCUUCGGAUUGUAAACCUCUUUUACAGGGGACGAGUAAGGACGGUACCCUGUGAAUAAGCAACGGCUAACUACGUGCCAGCCGCCGCGGUAAUAC